rnacentral:rRNA from 1 species
CAAUAGCGUAUAUUAACUUUGUUGCAGUUAAAAAGCUCGUAGUUGAAUUUUAGGUUAUUGAUGUGUCCUUGUUCUUUUGAAUAUUGGAUUAUGUCAUGACCUUUUGCGAAUGGAAUUUUCGUGGCAUUAGGUUGUCGCGGAUUGGAUGUUUGCCGUUUACUGUGAAAAAAUUAGAGUGUUCAAAGCAGGCUUAUGCCUUAUUGAAUAUAUUAGCAUGGAAUAAUGAGAUAGGACCUGUGUGCUAUUUUGUUGGUUUGCGCAUGUGGGUAAUGAUUAACAGGAACGGUUGGGGGUCUUCGUAUUCCAUUGUCAGAGGUGAAAUUCUUGGAUUUUUGGAAGACGAACUACUGCGAAAGCAUUGACCAAGGAUGUUUUCAUUAA